rnacentral:rRNA from 1 species
CUACGUGCCAGCAGCCGCGGUAAUACGUAGGUGGCAAGCGUUGUCCGGAUUUAUUGGGCGUAAAGCGAGCGCAGGCGGUCAAUUAAGUCUGAUGUGAAAGCCCCCGGCUCAACCGGGGAGGGUCAUUGGAAACUGGUUGACUUGAGUGCAGAAGAGGAGAGUGGAAUUCCAUGUGUAGCGGUGAAAUGCGUAGAUAUAUGGAGGAACACCAGUGGCGAAGGCGACUCUCUGGUCUGUAACUGACGCUGAGGCUCGAAAGCGUGGGUAGCAAACAGGAUUAGAUACCCUGGUAGUCCGCACAGUAAACGAUGGAUGCCCGCUGUUGGUACCUAGUAUCAGCGGCUAAGCGAAAGCAUUAAGCAUCCCACCUGGGGAGUACGCCGGCAACGGUGAAACUCAAAGGAAUUGACGGGGGCCCGCACAAGCGGAGGAACAUGUGGUUUAAUUCGAUGAUACGCGAGGAACCUUACCCGGGCUUGAA